rnacentral:misc_RNA from 1 species
GGAAUAAGCAUGCAGAGUGUUCUCGUUGGUUCAGACCUCAAUGGCUGUGCAUUUGUAUGUGGUUCGUUAAGCUUCGUAGACAAGAUUUCAUGUGGUCUGGCUCUGUAUGCUCUUCAAUCAUUUCAAAGCAUGUCACCUAAAGUCCAGAAUUCCCUUUCCACAAAUUAUAUUUCAGUCACAAGAUGUGGUUUGGGUCUAGUUCCAGCCUUCUGUUCGCUUGUUGGUGUGGCUGUUACAUACACUAUGAAACUCAACACACCCUGCUCCAAACCUUUGAUGGAACCACUUUUGGAAUAAUAAUGUACUAGAGGGGCCAGUUUGUUGGAGUAAUCACUGCACCUCGAUUAUCUGCGCGAGAACUAACAUCCAGCAUUCCACUUAGCUAGAGGAAGAAGUUUCUGAAUAUCAGAUCAGAUCAACCAAGUUCAGGGUAUAGUUUAUUUAUUUUCUUCAUUCUCAGAAGUCGUAGCCAAUGUUUGUUCUAUGCUCAGAGAAAUUUAUUCCAAUAUUCUUUUUAUACAAGGUCAUUGAUAUGAUGUUACAUUACAUAA